rnacentral:rRNA from 1 species
UACGUAGGGUGCGAGCGUUGUCCGGAAUUACUGGGCGUAAAGAGCUCGUAGGUGGUUUGUCGCGUUGUUCGUGAAAUCUCACGGCUUAACUGUGAGCGUGCGGGCGAUACGGGCAGACUGGAGUACUGCAGGGGAGACUGGAAUUCCUGGUGUAGCGGUGGAAUGCGCAGAUAUCAGGAGGAACACCGGUGGCGAAGGCGGCUCUCUGGGACGGUACUGACGCUGAGACGCGAAAGCGUGGGGAGCGAACAGG